GCCUUCGUGGUGUAGUGGUCAGCACACUUGGCGCGUAUUCGAGAGGUCCGCGGUUCGAGUCCCGGCGAGGGCA
rnacentral:tRNA from 1 species